rnacentral:rRNA from 1 species
AAUGCGAAUUGCAGAAUUUCAGUUAGUCAUUGAAUUUUUAACGCACAUUGCGCCCGCCAGUACCCUGGCGGGCAUGCCUGUCCGAGCGUCAUUUCGACCCCUCAAGCCCCAGCGCUNGGCGUUGGGGGCCCACGGCUGCCCGUGGCCCCCGGAAGACAGUGGCGGCGGCCCCCGCGGCGCCGGGCGUANUAGCACACCUCGCCCCGGCCCGNGGCGCCUUGCCCGCCGUGAAACCCCCCGCCCCCCGGGCGGACAGACCGGUUGACCUCGGAUCAGGUAGGAAUACCCGCUGAACUUAAGCAUAUCAAUAAGCGGAGGAAAAGAAACCAACAGGGAUUGCCCUAGUAACGGCGAGUGAAGCGGCAACAGCUCAAAUUUGAAAUCUGGCUCUCGGGCCCGAGUUGUAAUUUGUAGAGGAUGCUUCGGGCGCGGCGCCUUCCGAGUCCCCUGGAACGGGGCGCCAUAGAGGGUGAGAGCCCCGUACGGUUGGAUGCCUAGCCCGUGUGAAGCUCCUUCGACGAGUCGAGUAGUUUGGGAAUGCUGCUCAAAAUGGGAGGUAAGUUCCUUCUAAAGCUAAAUACCGGCCAGAGACCGAUAGCGCACAAGUAGAGUGAUCGAAAGAUGAAAAGCACUUUGAAAAGAGGGUUAAAUAGCACGUGAAAUUGCUGAAAGGGAAGCGCUCGUGACCAGACGCGCGCCGGGCGGAUCAUCCAGCGUUCUCGCUGGUGCACUCCGCCCGGCGCGGGCCAGCGUCGG